rnacentral:rRNA from 1 species
UACGAAGGGGGCUAGCGUUGUUCGGAAUUACUGGGCGUAAAGCGCACGUAGGCGGAUUGUUAAGUCGGGUGUGAAAGCCCUGGGCUCAACCCAGGAAGUGCACUCGAAACUGGCAGGCUUGAAUAUGGAAGAGGGUCGCGGAAUUCCCGGUGUAGAGGUGAAAUUCGUAGAUAUCGGGAGGUACACCAAUGGCGAAGGCAGCUCGCUGGGACGUGACUGACGCUGAGACGCGAAAGCGUGGGGAGCAAACAGG